rnacentral:misc_RNA from 1 species
AACUUUCAGCAACGGAUCACUUGGUUCUGGCAUCGAUGAAGAACGCAGCGAAAUGCGAUAAGUAAUGUGAAUUGCAGAAUUCCGUGAAUCAUCGAAUCUUUGAACGCACAUUGCGCCCGCCAGUAUUCUGGCGGGCAUGCCUGUUCGAGCGUCAUUUCAACCCUCAAGCCCCCGGGCUUGGUGUUGGGGCUCGGCCCGUUCCUAGCGGCGCGCCGUCCCCGAAAUCUAGUGGCGGUCACGCUGUACUCCUCUGCGUAGUAAUCUAACCUCGCAACGGGACAAAGCGCGGCCACGCCGUUAAACCCCCAACUUCUGAAGGUUGACCUCGGAUCAGGUAGGAAUACCCGCUGAACUUAAGCAUAUCAAUAAGCGGAGGAU